CACGUAGGUGGCAUCGUAAGUCAAAGGUGAAAGCCCUCGGCUCAACCGAGGAACUGCCUUUGAAACUGCUUUGCUUGAGUCCGGGAGGGGGGAGCGGAAUUCCCAGUGUAGCGGUGAAAUGCGUAGAUACUGGGAGGAACACCGGUGGCGAAGGCGGCUCCCUGGACCGGUACUGACACUGAGGUGCGAAAGCGUGGGUAGCAAACAGGAUUAGAUACCCUGGUAGUCC
rnacentral:rRNA from 1 species